GACGACGCUGGCGGCACGCUUAACACAUGCAAGUCGAACGGAGAUAAUUUGAGUUUACUUAGAUUAUCUUAGUGGCGGACGGGUGAGUAACACGUGAGCAACCUACCUUUGAGAGAGGGAUAGCUUCUGGAAACGGAUGGUAAUACCUCAUAACGUAGUUUUACCGCAUGAUAGGACUACCAAAGAUUUAUCACUCAAAGAUGGGCUCGCGUCUGAUUAGCUAGAUGGUGAGGUAACGGCUCACCAUGGCGACGAUCAGUAGCCGGACUGAGAGGUUGAACGGCCACAUUGGGACUGAGACACGGCCCAGACUCCUACGGGAGGCAGCAGUGGGGAAUAUUGCACAAUGGGGGAAACCCUGAUGCAGCGAUGCCGCGUGGAGGAAGAAGGUUUUCGGAUUGUAAACUCCUGUCUUAAAGGACGAUAAUGACGGUACUUUAGGAGGAAGCUCCGGCUAACUACGUG
rnacentral:rRNA from 1 species